rnacentral:rRNA from 1 species
AUGCACGCUGGCGGCGUGCCUAAUACAUGCAAGUCGAGCGAACAGACGAGGAGCUUGCUCCUUUGACGUUAGCGGCGGACGGGUGAGUAACACGUGGAUAACCUACCUAUAAGACUGGGAUAACUUCGGGAAACCGGAGCUAAUACCGGAUAACAUGUUGAACCGCAUGGUUCAACAGUGAAAGACGGUCUUGCUGUCACUUAUAGAUGGAUCCGCGCCGCAUUAGCUAGUUGGUAAGGUAACGGCUUACCAAGGCAACGAUGCGUAGCCGACCCGAGAGGGUGAUCGGCCACACUGGAACUGAGACACGGUCCAGACUCCUACGGGAGGCAGCAGUAGGGAAUCUUCCGCAAUGGGCGAAAGCCUGACGGAGCAACGCCGCGUGAGUGAAGAAGGUCUUCGGAUCGUAAAACUCUGUCAUUAGGGAAGAACAAAUGUGUAAGUAACUAUGCACGUCUUGACGGUACCUAAUCAGAAAGCCACGGCUAACUACGUG